GUGCCGGCGGACCAAGUCGGAGGAACGGUGGGGAUGACGUCAAAUCAUCAUGCCCUUAUGACCUGGGCUACACACGUGCUACAAUGGGCGGUACAAAGGGCUGCGAACCCGCAGGGGAGCGAAUCCCAAAAAGCCGCUCUCAGUUCGGAUUGCAGGCUGCAACUCGCCUGCAUGAAGCCGGAAUCGCUAGUAAUCGCGGAUCAGCAUGCCGCGGUGAAUACGUUCCCGGGCCUU
rnacentral:rRNA from 1 species